AUGAACGCUGGCGGCGUGCUUAACCCAUGCCAGUCGAACGAAGCACUUUAUUUGAUUUCCUUCGGGACUGAUUAUUUUGUGACUGAGUGGCGGACGGGUGAGUAACGCGUGGGUAACCUGCCUUGUACAGGGGGAUAACAGUUGGAAACGGCUGCUAAUACCGCAUAAGCGCACAGCAUCGCAUGAUGCAGUGUGAAAAACUCCGGUGGUAUAAGAUGGACCCGCGUUGGAUUAGCUAGUUGGUGAGGUAACGGCCCACCAAGGCGACGAUCCAUAGCCGACCUGAGAGGGUGACCGGCCACAUUGGGACUGAGACACGGCCCAAACUCCUACGGGAGGCAGCAGUGGGGAAUAUUGCACAAUGGGCGAAAGCCUGAUGCAGCGGCGCCGCGUGAGCGAAGAAGUAUUUCGGUAUGUAAAGCUCUAUCAGCAGGGAAGAUAAUGACGGUACCUGACUAAGAAGCACCGGCUAAAUACGUG
rnacentral:rRNA from 1 species